GUUUAGUCGUGUCCGACUCUUCGUGACCCCCUGGACCAGAGCACGCCAGGCACUCCUGUCUUCCACUGCCUCCUGCACUUUGGCCAAACUCAUGCUGGUAGCUUCGAGAUCACUGUCCAACCACCUCGUCCUCUGUCGUCCCCUUCUCCUUGUGCCCUCCAUCUUUCCCAACAUCAGGGUCUUUUCCAGGGAGUCUCCUCUUCUCAUGAGGUGGCCAAAGUACUGGAGCCUCAGCUUCAGGAUCUGUCCUUCCAGUGAGCACUCAGGGCUGAUUUCCUUCAGAAUGGAGAGGUUGGAUCUUCUUGCAGUCCAUGGGACUCUCAAGAGUCUCCUCCAGCACCAUAAUUCAAAAGCACCAAUAUAUAUAUAUAUAUAUAUGUGUGUGUGUGUGUGUGUGUGUGUGUGUCCCCAUAGACAGAUAUUUGCAGGUGGUGUAUUCUGGAAUAGGAGGGCAGCCUCUGAAGAAUGAAGAACAGCAGUUUGCAAAAAGGUGGGAAGACAGGAACAGAAGAAUGAGAACAUUGAUCACCUUCAUGUUCCAAAACUAGUUGCAGAAGCACCAGCUCUCCCAUGUCCUGAAGGAUACCAGUACAAAAACACCUGGAGUCCUGUGUCCAGUUCUAGGCACCAGUGCUUAAGAAGUGCAUUGGCAAGCUGGAACACAUGCAGAGGAGGGCGACCAAGAUGAUCAAGGAUCUGGAAACCAAACCUGAUGAGGAACAGUUGAUGGCAUUGGGAAAGUUUAUCUUGGACAAGAGGAGACUGAAAAGAGAUAUGAGAGCUGCCUUCAAAUACCUCAAGGUCUGCCACGUGGAAAAUGGAGCAACUCUGUUUUCUCCUGCUCCAGAGGCUGGGACCCAAACCAAUGGAUUCCAUUGACAAGAAAGGAGAUUACAACUGACCAUCAGGAAGAACUUUCUGGCCAUGGAAUGGACUUCCUCAGAAGGUGGUGGGCUCUCCUUCAUUGGAAGUUUUAAAGCAGAGGUUGUUUGGAUGGCUAUCUGUCUGUGAUGAUUGAGCUGUGAUUCCUUCAUUGCAGGGACUAGAUUACCCUUGAGGGUCUCCUUCAGCUAUUCUGUGAUUCUAUGAAUACUGAGCAGGCAGCGUAAAUAUAGCCCAUGCUGUAUUAUAAAUGUCCACAUGUGAUGUGAAAAGACUUUUAUGCUUCUUUAAUGCUCCAGUCCCUUGUCUACAGGACUUCAAAACUACUGUUUCGGGAGAUUAAAAUAAUGCAGGAACUCUGGUGCCUGUCAAGCUUUGCAAGAGGCUGCUGAGAUCUGUCAACUCUCAGCCUCCAGGCAGGAGAGGUUUUAUGAGCCUAUUAAUUGUGUUAAUUCUUUCAGAUUCCUUCAUCUUCCCCAACUGGAGCCUGGCCAGAUCUGGAAUGCAUUGCCUGCCCAAAUCCAGAACUGCUGGAAGUUGCAGAUUCUUCCCUGCGUGCUUUAUUCUACUUAUAGCUCACGAAUGCCAGAGUAAGCCUCUAUUGUCUUUCCGGUUAUAUAUAAAGUUAAAGCACAUCAGUUUGGAAUCGUAAGAUAAUUUGCAAUGCGCAUUUUAAAAGCCAUACCAUGUGCAUGAUUUAAACUGCAAAACGAUAAACCGUGACUGGCUGCAAUUUAACUCUGCACAGUAACUAUUUGUGGAGAAUUCUCUCUCUCUCUCUCUCUCUCUCUCUCUCUCUCUCUCUCACACACACACACACACACACACACCUUUUGUGUUUUAUCAUUACUUAACCACAAACACAGGGACAAGGGUGGCGCUGUGGGUUAAACCACAGAGCCUAGGACUUGCCGAUCAGAAGGUCAGCGGUUCGAAUCCCCGCGACGGGGUGAGCUCCCGUUUCUCUGUCCCUGCUCCUGCCAACCUAGCAGUUUGAAAGCACAUCAAAGUGCAGGUAGAUGAAUAGGCACUGCUCCUGCGGGAAGGUAAACAGCGUUUCCGUGCGCUGCUCUGGUUCGCCAGAAGCGGCUUAGUCAUGCUGGCCACAUGACCCGGAAGCUGUACGCCGGCUCCCUCGGCCAGUAAAGCGAGAUGAGUGCCGCAACCCCAGAAUCGGCCACGAAUGGACCUAAUGGUCAGGGGUCCCUUUACCUUUACCUUACUCCAUCAUCAUCAUCAUUAUUAUUACCCCAUCCCUCUGACUGGGUUGCCCCAGCCACUGGACGGAUUCCAACAUAUAUAAAAACAAAGUAAAACAUUGAACAUUGAAAAAUUGCCCACAUUCUAUGGCACCGGAGUAGAGCCCUUCCCCAACUGGCUGCACUCUGGAAGACAUGUGGGAUGUGAUACAUAAGUAGCAGUCAAAUACAACAUUCCUUGUUUUCCUAGAGUGGACAUGCAAGGGGGUGUUUGGACCAGCCAGUUGAAAACUUCCUGUUUCCUCCUGGCUGGGACAUACUUCCUUUGCGUGUCACUAGAGAUGGACGUGACCUUACCUGUCCAGGUAACAAAAAGGACAAGGCAUGCAGCACUCUCUCUUUUUGACUUCUUCCAUCGUUGGAGCAGCUUUUAGCUAGAGAUGCUUCCAGCCAACAGAGGACACUGGGAUUAUUCCCAUAUGGGAUAGCUCCACAUGUAUAUACUUCAGGGAUCCAACUGUGAACUGAUGAUGUGAGUAAACUUCUUUUGUAUACUUUAAACAAGAUUGUGGCAUGUUUAUUCUUUUAGGAGGGAUAUAAGGGGACUUACCAGGAACCAAAAAGUAAGAGGCUUAAAGAAGCCUGCAACCACCUACCUGCUGUGUGUUUAAAAGGGGAAUGUAAAACUCUGCUAAGUAAAGGGACAUGCUAGCGCAAGUUAGGAAGGAUAUUAAUAAACAAUCUAUCCUCUCCUACCUCCCUGAACAUUCCCACAAAACAAUCCCCACAAAACAUCCUGGACAAUGGUCAAGGAUGUUGGCAACUGCCAUAAGAAUGUAAGAGAAGUCUGCUGGAUCAGGCCAGUGGUCCACCUACUCCACCUUCUGAUCGGCAAGCCAUAGGCUCUGUGGUUUAACCCACAGCACCACCCGCGUCCCAUUAAUAACAGAAUAGGAUGUCCCUAUUUUCAUCAUGGUGCUGGAGGAGACUCUGGAGAGUCCCAUGGACUGCAAGAAGAUCAAACCUCUCCAUUCUGGAGGAAAUCAGCCCUGAGUGCUCACUGGAAGGACAGAUCCUGAAGCUGAGGCUCCAAUACUUGGGCCACCUCAGGAGAAGAGAAGACUCCCUGGGAAAGACCCUGAUGUUGGGAAAGAUGGAGGGCACAAGGAGAAGGGGACGACAGAGGACGAGAUGGUGGGACAGUGUUCUCGAAGCUACCAGCAUGAGUUUGACCAAACUGCGGGAGGCAGUGGAAGACAGGAGUGCCUGGCGUGCUCUGGUCCAGGGGGUCACGAAGAGUCGGACACGACUAAACGACAACAUUUUCAUCAGAAAAAUGUUGGAGUAUAUUGAAGUGGCUAAUGUGCGGAGACUGGUGGCCUGGUAGUCUUGUCACUUCUGAAGGGCACCACGUUGCCUAUGCUUUCUUUAAGUCCUUGGCCAAUGCUCUUGUGCUACAGAUGCCCAUCGAGGUGCUAAUUAGCGCAAUUAUGUAUGAGUGAUCCACACUGCAGGCAGCUUCUCUGCACGGCGCCAAGCAACUGCCACCCAUCUGCGUUGUUCUGCAUCCAUCAUCUGCCGGCCCAGGGCUCCCUUCUCCCCCCUUGUUUUGCCAGCGACUUGUCAGAUGUGGAAGGCAGGCAGUGACCUGAAAGCGAAGAGUCCUCCUUGCAGUAGCAGCCCCUGGAGCUUUUCCUUCACCUCUUUCCCAAGGCCGCUUUGCUUUAUGAUCUCUGCUUUAAAGUCUGCAAAGGCUGUCUAUGGGGCUAACCUUUGUGAUCUGCUCAAUCAGGCUAUUGACUUUAAAGAGGCUUUUGAUCAGCUCUGGGGCAAUGAGACACCAAUCGGACUGGAUUAUUUUUGUCUGCGGUGCUGCUCUGGAGAACGGAAGGGGAAAAAGCCCUUCUGCUUUGCAGUUUCCAUUUGUUUCUCAACACACACAAAACCCCUACAGUGUCUGUAACCUGCAGUUCUUAUGCCAGCUUUGAUUUCUCAGGUCCCAAAGUAGGAUUUUUAUUUUUUAUUUUUUUAGCCAAAGAAUUGCCAGAGUCUAUUGGCAGUUUUUCUCCCCUAGAAUGAAUGCCCUCCAGUUCACCUUGUGAUUCUUCCACUGUCCUCUUUGGUUAAUCUCCAAAACUCUUUCCCCAUUUUCAGGCUUCUAACAGGACCUGAAAGUUCCUGAUAGAAAAGUUUCACCUUAUAUUUGGGAAGAGACAGGGGCAGGCUCCUGGUGCCCUGCAGCUGAAACCUUCAAAUACAUAGAAGCAUAGAACCACAGAAUUGCAGAGUCAGGAGGGACCCCAAGGUCAUCUAGCCCACCCCCUAAGGUGCAGGAAUCACAGCUAAAUAACUGCCUCCAAACAUUGAUUCAGGAUUCCCACAGCCUCCAUAGGAUUAGCAGGAUUAGUAGAUGGAGAGGAGAGGUAAGGCAGAGAGUCAUCUGCAUACUGAUGCAAGCUCAGCCCAAUGGAGCUUCCAUGUGACUUCUUGUGCUUUCAUGUAAACGUUAAAAAAUAUUGUGUGCAAUAUAACUGAGACCCCCAUGGCCAUGGCAGAGGGGAUGCAAUAAUAGCCACAGCAACACCUUUCCUCUGAUUCACACUCUAGAAAAUAAUAAUAAUAAUAAUAAUAAUAAUAAUAAUAAUAAUAAUAAUAAUUUAUAUCCCGCCCAUCUGGCUGGGUUUCCCCAGCCACUCUGGUUGGCUUCCAACAAAAUAUUAAAAUACAAUAACCUAUUAAACAUUAAAAGCUUCCCUAGAUAGGGCUGCCUUCAGAUGUCUUCUAAAAGUCUGGUAGUUGUUUUUCUCUUUGACAUCUGGUGGGAGGGCGUUCCACAGGGCGGGUGCCACUACCAAGAAGGCCCUCUGCCUGCUUCCCUGUAACUUGGCUUCUCGCAGCAAGGGAACCGCUAGAAGGCCCUCGGCGCUGGACCUCAGUGUCUGGGUAGAAUGAUGGGGGUGGAGACGCUCCUUCAGAUAUACUGGACUGAGGCCUUUUAGAGAAGCAGUCUAGACAGACGCCUUGGCUGAUGAAAUGAAAAGUCAUGGGAAGAUCCAGGAGGGUCAAAAGCGGACCUUCACCUCCAUUCGCUUAAGCUGUUGGCCAUCCAUGCCAAAAUGGUGCAGCCCAUAACAACCUGCGCAGAGCUGGUCUGAGAGGCCUGGUUUGGGAGUCUUGUUCUUGGCAUGACAGUGUAAGUUGGGCAGAACCGUGGCAGCCCCUCUCCUCAGGACAUGUGGACCUGGCUGGCCCGCACUCUGCAUGGGACUGACCCCAGGUUUUGUGGGCUACAAUUGCAGUCUUCUCAGGGGCUGCUCCCAGACUCUGGAACUCCCUUCUUAGAGAAGCGAGACCGACUCCCUACUGGUCCUUCUGCUGGCAAGUGAAGACUGGCUUAUUCAGAAGGCUUUUCGGAACCAAUUGUUUUUAAGGAAAGGGCUGGUGCGAUGCUGUUUUUGCGUCUGGUGCAACAGAACACAGUGACAGAAGUCAGAGCACAUGGAAAUGCCUUUUACCUUCCCACCGGAGCAAUAGCUAUUUAUCUACUUGCACUGGUGUGCUUUCAAACUGCUAGGUUUGGGGGAUGUGAUAUAUAAGUAGCAGUCAAAUACAACAUUGUUUUCCUAGAGUGGACAUGCAAGGGGAUGUUUGGUCCAGUCAGUUGGAACUCCCUGUUUCCUCCUGGGCUGGGACAUAUUCCCUUUGCCUGUGACUAGAGGUGGGCGUGACCUUACCUGUGCAGGUAACAAAAGCACAAGGCACACAGCACUCUCUCUCUCUUCCUCCAUCAUAGGAGUAACAGCUUUUUAGCUAGAGAUGCUCUGUAUAUAUUUUGUAACUAAGUCUGCCUUCAGAGAUCCAACUGUGAACUGAUGAACUGAUGUGAGUAAACUUCUUUUACUGACUUUAAAUAAGAUGGUUGUGUGUUUAUUCUUUUGAGAGGGAUAAAAGGGGACUCAUGAGGAACAUACAAUUCAAUACUGAAUUGUAUGAUAGUGAGAGGCUUAAACAAGCCUGCAACCAGCUAGCCGCUGUGCGUUAAAAAGGGAAUGCACUCUGCUAAACAAAAGGGACUUGCUAGCGCAAGUUGGGAAGGAUAUUAAUAAACAAUAUAUCCUCUCCUGCCACCCUGAACAUUCCCACAAGGUUGGCAGGAGUUGGGACAGAGCAAUGGGGACUCACUCUGUUGUGGGGAUAUGAACCGUCGGCCUUCUGAUCAGCAAGUCCAAGAGGCUCAGUGGUUUAGACCACAGCGUCACCCGCGUCCCCUUUGAUAUAGAUAGUUUCAAUUCUAUCAAUGUUUGCUUUUUAAUGUUUGUUUUUGCUAUCUUUGUAGUGUGGGAGUCCAUUGCAGUGCCUGGAGACAGUUGGGCUGUGCAGUGACCAGAGGAGGAAUGACCGCUGGGAGGAGGACUCAGAGAAGAAAUGCAACGGUGCACCUGCAGCAGCACAACUGGAAGCCUUCAUCUGCCCCAGCUGCAACAAAACAUGUCUCUCCCAUAUCAUUCUCGACAGCCACUGCAGGUGCUAUAACCUUCCGACAAUUUGGUUUCACCCCCAAAGACGCUCUCCUCCAUUUUGUCUUGAAACAGAAGGAUGCCAUUAAAAACAAUACAAAUUGAAUGCAAACCCAAUGCAUGUCUCUGAGUCUCACAGGAGGGAAAUACAAGUAUUGGGUGAUGUGCAAAUCCAUUGCUCAUGCAAUUUUCUCGAUGGAUGUUCAGCUUCACCAAAGAUUCCACCUCUGCUACAGACAUAGAAACUUGAGGUUCACUUUUAAUGAGUUUCAACAGAAUUGCACGCUGAAAACUUGUGACUGAACCAUGUACCAUCUUGGCUUAUAACCAAAUCUUUCUUAGCCGCUGAAGGAGUGGCAAUCAUACUUGGAUUCCGAGGCACCUUCCCCAAGGGAAGGGAUGGCUAAAAAUAUCCUAAAAGCUUCUCCCACCCCCUUCCUAGCAGGCGUUCUAAUUCUCAGGAGCCAAAGUUAAUUCAGUCAGCGAUUUUCCAGUCCCGCCAGCAAGGAUGUGUGGCUUGUUUGAACUCCUCAGGCAAUUUGUUGAAGUGCCGUUUGAUGGAAGUUUUUUUUCAAGAUACACUCAACAAGUGUUUUAAAUCUCAGAGUUCAAGGAGCUUCUCAUGACUGCCCAUUAAGUGCAGAUUGGCACAAAGAAAAAAAUAGAAAUUAUGUCAGCUCAGUCCUAAUAUAUGGAUUGAGAAGUAUAAGGUAGUGAGGAUUACCAAGCAAGGUCCCUGAUUUGUUUUGUUUUUGCUUUUAAAUUCCAUAUUUUAAAUGGUGCAAUUUGUGUGUUUGGACCCAUCACGCCAAAAAUUGAGUGAAGUCAAUUCAAAGUCAUGUUUAGGUCUGCUAUCUUGAAUCAAAUGACAUCUGGCACCCAAACAUUGACAAAGACUGUCACCCACACCUCGGGAAGAUUUGGGCUUAGUUUGGUGACAAUAUUGGAACCACAAUUUUGGAAAGAAGUUGACAAGCUGGCAGGUGUGCAGAGGAGGGCAACCAAGAUGAUCAAGGGUCUGGAAACCAAACCUUAUGAGGAACGAUUGAAGGAUCUGGGUACAUUUAGCCUGAAAAAGAGGAGACUCAGAGGAGAACAGCCAUUACCAAAGGUGUCAUGGGUUUUGAAGAUGCUCAAACUCAGGACGCAAAGGAGAAACAUGCAAAGAGGAAGGCACGCUUGGCAAAUCCUCACUGUCAUCAACUCCUGCCCGGAAACCAGUGUCCCCACUAUGGAAGGACGUGUGGAUCCAGAAUUGGCCUCCACAGUCACUUAUGGACUCAUUGUUAAAACCGUGUUUAUGGAAGACAAUCUUUCCGCAGGGCCUGCAAGACAGAGCUGUUCCACCAGGCCUUUGGUCAGGGCACAGCCUGACUCCCUCCUUUGGCAAUCUUCACAGAAUCUCUAGCCUAAUGGUUGCCAUCAAUUUGAUUUGAAUUAAUUUUAUAAAUGAUUUUAGAAUGUUGUACUAUUUUAUUGUUGUUAGCCGUCCUGAGCCCGGCUUCGGCAGGGGAGGGCGGGAUAUAUAUAUAUUUAUUAUUAUUAUUAUUAUUAUUAUUAGUAUCAUUAUUAUUAUUAUUAUUAUUACUCAGCUACGAGUGAUUGCCAAAGAAGAAGGAGGAGGAGGAGAAGAAUGAUAGUCAUCUUCAAAUAUCUCAAGGGUUUUCACAUGGAAGAGGGAGGAAGCCUGUUUUCUCCUGAUCUGGAGGACUUGAACCAAUGGCUUCAAGUUACAAGAAAGGAGUUUCUGACUGAACAUUGGAAAGUAAGAGCUAUUUGACAGUGGAACAGACUCCCUUGGGGGGGGGUGGAUUCUCCUUCCGUGGAGGUUUUUAAGCAGAAGUUGGAUGGCCAUCCGUCAUGGAUGCUUUAACUGAGAUUCCUGCUUUGCAGGGGGUUGAACUAGAUGACCUUUGGGUCCCUUCCAACUCUACAAUUCUGUGAUUCUAUGAUUCUAUCUCAAGAGGCCUCCGAAUGCAUACUAGACAAACAGACAAAUGGACAAACCAUUUUAGGACAAGCUGAGAGGCAGAGACUGACAGCUCUUCAGAUAUUUCAAGAUCUCCAGGUGGGGGGAAAUCAGCGACUUCCCAUCCGCCAAUGCACCCUCUUGCAGUUCUUUCCCGGUGCUGCAAUUUGUCUGCUGUGCUUAGUUUAUUCAUUUACUUUGCAUUUACUGCUCUUCUCCACAUUUACUUUGCGUUUAAUGCUUUGCUCAUAACUCUGGAACGCAGCACAGUUUAUGUCAACUUUGUACUUUGUUUUGCAACCUCAUUGUAAUCUCAUUUUAUGCCAUUUCGGCUUUACUGCUUCAGUAUUUUCUGCAUCUCGAGCCUGCCUCUUAAAUUAUUUAGCAUUGCUUUUUGAAUGCUUUUAAUUCAUGUGAUCUCAAUUAGCCUCCUUUCCGCUUAGAUUCGUAUCAACGGCACAACCUCCGACAUCUCACACGCUGCGGAAACCGUGACAUUACUAAGGACUUGGAAUUGCCACCCCAAGGGUCCCUGGGACAGGGAUGGGGGGGGGAGGCUGGAGAGUGGCCCCUACAGCAUUUUGAUAUGAAACUUGUUGUUGUUGUUUAGUCGUGUCCGCCUCUUCGUGACCCCCUGGACCAGAGCACGCCAGGCACUCCUGUCUUCCACUGCCUCCCGCAGUUUGGUCAAACUCAUGCUGGUACCUUCAACAACACUAUCCAACCAUCUCGUCCUCUGUCCUCCCCUCCUCCUUGUGCCCUCCAUCUUUCCCAGCAUCAGGGUCUUUCCCAGGGAGUCUUCUCUUCUCAUGAGGUGGCCCAAGUAUUGGAGCCUCAGCUUCAGGAUCUGUCCUUCCAGUGAGCACUCAGUGUACUGGUCCCAUGGGUUACCCGAGAGGCGAGGUCCAAGUCCGGUCCAUGGUCAAAGGUGCAAUGUGGAGGCAGUCCGUAGUAGCUGAAGCUGGGCGCAGGGCAGGGAGUCGGGUGAAGUCAGGAACAGGCAUGCAAGCAGGGAGCCAGGGCGGGUCAAGAGCUCUGGCAGAAAAGCAGGACAGGGUUCAGACAGGAACUAGCAACCAACAAUAUUGCUCCCACAACUUGGGACUGGGGCUGGCUGGCUUUUAUCUCCCCCAAGGCAUAGGGCGGCCCCGAUCCUCUGGUGACUCACCUCUCCUGGCCUGGAGGCGAGCUCUCCUCCUGUAGGAACUUAGUUCCCUCUGCCUCUCUGCCCUGAGCCUCUGCAGCUCAGGAGAGGCUGGAGGGCUAUCAGACCCAGAGGCAACCUCAGCCUCCCCUGACAGGGCUGAGAGUGGAGCACCUGCAGGCAAUGGGUCCUACAUCACCUCAGGAGCCAGAGCAGACUCAGCUGGUGCCUGCACCAGAGGAUCCAGCACAGGUGAGGACCCUUCAGGCUCAAGCCUCAGCCCCGGCUCAGCCGGUUCUGGAGGCAGGGAAUCCUGUGCAGGCUGGGACCCCUAAGAUUCAGCAUCCGAGUCCAAAUCCCAGGCCAUCACGCUCCGGGCUGAUUUCCUUCAGAAUAGAUAGGUUUGGUCUUCUUGCAGUUCAUGGGACUCUCAAGAGUCUCCUCCAGCACCACAAUUUAAAAGCAUCAGUUCUUUGGCGAUCAGCCUUCUUUAUGGUCCAGCUCUCACUUCCAUACAUCACUAUGAAACUAUGAAAUAUCAAACUACCUAUUUCAUAGGAAAGGUCCUGCUGGAUCAGGUCGGUAGCCCACCCAACACCUUGUUCUCACCAUGGCCAACCAGGUGCCUGUGAGAAACCAGCGUGCAGAAGCUCAGCACAAUAAUAUCCUCCCCUCUUGCAGUUUCCAGCAACUGGGAUUCAGGAGCAUCACUGUCUCUGUGGAGGCAGAGCAUAGCCAACAUGGCUAGUAGCCACUGAAAGCCCUCUGCUCCUUGAACUUGUCUAUUCCUCUUCAGGUCCAGUAUACCCGAAGGAGUGUCUCCACCUCCAUCGUUCUGCCCGGACACUGAGAUCCAGCACUGAGGGCCUUCUGGCGGUUCCCUCACUGCGAGAAGCCAAGUUACAGGGAAGCAGGCAGAGGGCCUUCUCGGUAGUAGCGCCCGCCCUGUGGAACACCCUCCCACCAGAUGUCAAAGAGAAAAAUAACUACCAAACUUUUAGAAGACAUCUGAAGGCAGCCCUGUUUAGGGAAGCUUUUAAUGUUUAAUAAAGGUAAAGGUAAAGGUACCCCUGCCCGUACGGGCCAGUCGUGUCCGACUCAAGGGUUGUGCGCCCAUCUCACUUAAGAGGCCGGGGGCCAGCGCUGUCCGGAGACACGUCCGGGUCACGUGGCCAGCGUGACGAAGCUGCUCUGGUGAGCCAGCACCAGCGCAGCACACAGAAACGCCGUUUACCUUCCCGCUAUAAAGCGGUACCUAUUUAUCUACUUGCACUUAGGGGUGUUUUCGAACUGCUAGGUGGGCAGGAGCUGGGACCGAAAGACAGGAGCUCACCCCGCCGCGGGGAUUCGAACCGCUGACCAUACGAUCGGCAAGUCCUAGGCACUUAUGUUUUACCCACAGCGCCACCCGCAUCCCUUAAUGUUUAAUAGGUUAUUGUAUUUUAGUGUUUUAUUGGAAGCUGCCCAGAGUGGCUGGGGAAACCCAGCCAGAUGGGCAGGGUAUAAAUAAUAAACUAUUAUUAUUAUUAUUAUUAUUAUUAAAGCCAUCCAGUUUGGAGGACGUCACAGCCUCCAGUGGGAGGGAGUUCCAUUUGGACGUCCGUGAAAAAAAGCUUUCUUCUGUCUUCCAAAAUUUAGCUUCAUUAGAUAUUCAUGCGUUCCAAGGAAAAAUAAGGGACUUUUUACCAUAUGUGGUGGGAUUGCAGAGAAAUUAAUUUUUUUUUUUUGGAAAUGAUAUAUAAUGAGUUGAAAAAUUAAAUUAACAUUUGUAAAAAAGCCAGAAGCAUUUUUGUUAGGGAUUGUAGGAUAAGACCUGCCAAGGGAAAUGAAUAACAUAUUUAUGUACGCGACAACGGCGGCAAGAGUCUUAAUAGCACAAGGAUGGAAGAAUGAAGAAACCCCAACUAAAGAACAGUGGGAAGAGAAACUGAUGGAUUACGCGGAACUGGCAAAAUUGACGCACAAACUACGUGAUUAGGACAACUGUGACUUCAAAGAAGAAUGGGAACCUUUUACAAAGUAUUUAAAGAAACAACAAAAUGAAUUGGACUCAUUGGCAGGUUUUGAAUAAACAUACAGAAAUUUAUUUGUUAAUAUAAUAGAGGGAUAAUUUAGGGAUUUUUACAUUUUUUAUAACAUUCAGAGAACAUAUGUGUUAAAAAACCCCAGAAAGGAACUGAGGGAAGUCGUAGGGAGGAGGGAGGGGGGGUAUGUGGGGGAGAUGGGAGAGGAAAAAUGGGGGGGGGGGAUACAAUAAAGAUGAUUUGUUGGAAUAAUUUGUUAUGCGAAAAUAGUGAAGAAGAAGAAGAAGAAGAAGAAGAAGAAGAAGAAGAAGAAGAUAUCCAUGCGUUCCAGUGUUACAAGAGAGGGAGGAAAACGUUCUCCGCUUUCUCCAUGCCGCACAUAAUUUCAUAAACUUCCAUCAAGCCACCUCUUCAAAGAAUCCUGGGAUUGUAGAGUCGGAAGGGACCCUAAGGAUCAUCUAGUCCAGGCACCCCCAAACUUGGCCUUCCAGCUGUUUUGGGAUUACAACUCCCAUCAUCCCUAGUUUACAGGACCAGUGGUCAGGGAUGAUGGGAUUUGUAGUCCCAAAACAGCUGGAGGGCCGAGUUUGGGGAUGCCUGAUUUCUAAUCCAACCCCCUGCAACGCAGGAAUCAAAAUGAAAGCAUCCAUGACAGAUGUUUUAGUUUGCUCAGCACUCGGUGAUCUACAACUGCAUGUAGAGAAACGAAAAGCAUUUCUCUUGGAUGCAAAGCAGAGGUUCUGUCUCUGCUGUUUGAAGUGCAAUGGUCUUUUGAUCCUUGUAAAUCACAACUUGAUCCUGCAGUCACCAAGCAACCAAGAUGCUUGUACAGACCGAUCCAAUCUUUGCAUCAUUAUUUUUAAUUUUUGCUUCCCACCCCCCACUACGCUACGUCUUUGGAAAGUUCUGAACUGAGCAUGAUCGCUGCUCACCUUGAACCCGCUGAGAAUAGGAUGGGCCAUAAAUCAAAAUCAAAAGCCGAAAGGGAACUUGGAACUUCCUCCGUAGGAAACGGGAGCCUUCUUGCUACAAGCUGCCCUGGAAUAUCUAAUGAGUUGACUCCAACGUCAUUAAAAUUCUCUCCACAAAAAAGUUUGCAGGGUAUUAAUUCCAUUUCCUCCCCUCCCCCCCCCGUGACAUGUAUCGCUUUGCGAUAAACAAUUCUCAAACGAUUUGAGAAAUAUUUUCGUUUAUGCCCAACAGAGAAGCAUCCUUUUGCCUUUCAUCCUGGAACAGAUUUGUCUUCAAGCCUUCUAAGCAAGAUCGAAUCAAUACUUUCUGCUGGGUAUCAAUACACCUCCUUCUUCAGCCCACGGUAUAAUACAGUCCCCUUGCUCUAGGGCUGGCAGCUAUGGACAGGAGGUUUGCCUGCCGGAAAAUAAAUCACAUUACGUGUGGUUCCCCCCCCCCAUCCAUGCACAUGCCAUUAAAGAUUAUGUGCGGCCGUUGUAAAAGGACCAAAUUCUCCUCUAGAAUUGCCUCUUUGAUCUACAUUUAGUAAUCUUCCUAUUUGGGCCACGCUCUGAUUGGCAAACCAUGUUUGUCGGAUGGAUUUUGUCCUUGGAGUUAUUUCUGUUUCAUUAUUUUCAACGUUGGAAACGACGCCGUGAUGUCAAUUUGCAAAAGUGAGAUGAAAAUGUUUAAUAAAGAUGCUUCUCGUGGCUCUGGCGUUGGAAGGAAGGAGAUAACUUCAGAAAGGAAGACUGGGGUUUGCGCGAGAUAUGAUCCAUGAGGAAAUAGAGGCCUUAAAUUUACAGAAUUAGACUUGCCAGAUUAAUGCUGCUUUUCAGCCAAUUAAUGAUGUCCUAUUUUAAGUCUUAAAAUGACAUUUUUUUCUACAUAUAGAAACUGAGUGGAACUGACUUUGAAACCCACGGCUAACAACAUUUCCAAAAUCCAGGGACAGGAGGCUGUCCUUUCCUUGGAGGAGUCUCUGGAAGGCAUGGCUUGACCAAACAAGGUUGUUUGAGGAAUAAUAAUAAUAAUAAUAAUAAUUCAUUAUUUAUACCCCGCCCAUCUGGCUGAGUUUUCCCAGCCACUCUGGGUGGCUCCCAAUCGAGUGUUAAAAACAAUACAGCAUUAAAUAUUAAAAACUUCCCUAAACAGGGCUUCCCUUCAGAUGUCUUUUAAAGAUAAGAUAGCUGCUUAUUUCCUUCACAUCUGGUGGUAGGGCGUUCCACAGAGUGGGUGCCACCACCGAGAAGGCCCUCUGCCUGGUUCCCUGUAACCUCACUUCUCGCAAUGAAGGAACUGUCAGAAGGCCCUCGGCGCUGGACCUCACUGUCUGGGCUGAAUGAUGGGGGUGGAGAUGCUCCUUCAGGUAUACUGGACUGAGGCCAUUUAGGGCUUUCAAGGUCACCAACACUUUGAAUUGUGCUCGGAAACGUACUGGGAGCUAAUGCAGAUCUCUCAGGACCGGUGUUAUGUGGUCCCGGCGGCCGCUCCCAGUCGCCAGUCUAGCUGCCGCAUUCUGGAUUAGUUGUAGUUUUGGGGUCACCUUCAAAGGUAGCCCCACAUAGAGUGCAUGGCAGUAGUCCAAGCGGGAGAUAACCAGAGCAUGCACCACUCUGGCGAGACAGUCUGCGGGCAGAGAGGGUCUUAUCCUGUGUACAUGAUGGAGCUGGUAGACAGCCGACCUGGACACAGAAUUGACCUGUGGCUCCAUGGACAGCUGUGAGUCCAAAAUGACUCUCAGGCUGCGCACCUGGUCCUUCUGGGGCACAGUUAUCCCAUUCAGGAUCCCGCUCGUUGUCUUGGCUUGUGCCAUAGCCGCGUGCAACCCCUCUGGCAGGGAGAGGUUGUGCGUGGCCUGUAUGCUGCUCUUUGGGGCUGGGGGGGGGAAUAAGAUUUUUCCCCCUUGAUUUCCCCCUCUAAAAACUAGGUGCGCCCUAUGGUCCGGUGCACCUUAUGGAGCGAAAAAUACGGUAUGUACCCCUUUAUAUUCACAGUCUGGCACAGUUAUAUCCACAGCUAUGGUAGGGGAGAGCGUGUGAUGCACAAAGAUGCUGUUUUAUUUCAGGGACCACUGGUGGGUUGCCACGCACAACUGGGCACCCUGCCAAGUAUCCCUCUGCCCCAGAGAACUUGGAGGUGGCAUUUAGAAGAGAGACUCUGAGCUGAUCUGCAUAGUUCUUCCUCUGCAGAGCCAAAUCUAGAGCUCGGAUUCAUAGACCCUCUCUACAAAACACCCAACUUUUCAAGAACAUCUACAGCUUUGAGCGAUUAGAGGUAUGUUGGUUGCCUUCCAAAACAGAGCGCAAAGGCUUGCCUGUUCAGAAUGAUAGAAGGAAACAUUGCCAUCAUUCUGAUUUGGCUUCUCAUGGACUCUCUCUCUCUCUCUCUCUCUCUCUCUCUCUCUCUCUCUCUUUUCCUUCUCAUACAGUGAGGGGGGAAAGUAUUUGAUCCCCUGCUAAAUUUGCCCAUUUGCCCUCUGACGAAGAAAUGACCAGUCCAUAAUUUUAAUGGUAGGUUUAUUGUAGCUGUGAGAGACAGAAUAACAACAGGAAAACCCCCCAGAAACCCAGAAAAGUCAGAGAUUGAUGUGCAUUAUAAUGAGUUAAAUAAGCGUUUGAUCCCUUUGCAAAAGAUGACUUAGUACUUGGUGGCAAAACCCUUGUUGGCAAUUACAGAGGUCAGACGUUUCUUGUAGGUGGCCACCAGGUUUGCACACAUCUCAGGAGGUAUCUUGUCCCACUCCUCUUUGCAGAUCUUCUCCAAGUCAGUAAGAUUUUGAGGCUGAUGUGUAGCUACUCGAACCUUCAGCUCCCUCCACAGAUUUUCAAUGGGAUUAAGGUCUGGAGACUGGCUAGGCCACUCCAGGACCUAGGGUCAUCUAGUCCAACCCCUCGCCAUGCCCCAAUCCAGCCAGUAAAAGUCCCUGGCUGCUUGAGGAUUGGAAGCCAGAUUUCCUACCAACAGACCCAACAGACACUUGAGCCAGUGCUCUGUUAUUUACUGCAAACCACCAAGGUGGUUAGCAUAAAAGAGGACUAAAGAUCUGAAAUAAUAGAACCGGAUCUUUCUCUCUCUCUCUCUUUUUGCCCUAGACAAACACAUUCUUACAUCUGUUCAAAGAGCCAUAUUUACUAUAAUUCUUCUCUAAUGGGAAACCUGCACAAUCAUUAAUGCUAUCAGCGUAUGUCUUGAUUUAAUAUGUCUUAUGAAAAGCAGCUUAGUUAUUGAUAUCCUCUCUCUCUUUUCAUUUUGGCAGAUGAAAGGCGCCUUUUUGUGUUUCGGGAAUAUUUGCUACAUAAAAGUUAAUGUGGAAGAGAUGAUUCAAUAUCCUACAGCAAGCCUCGGAGCAAACAAUACCUAAAUAUUUAAACACGGAGUGGAGAUGAAUGCUACGCCGCACUAAUAUUGUUUUUCUGUAUCCCCCCCCCUCCUCUUUUUGAUGCAGAGUCUUUGUGCCGAUAAAAUGAGCUAUGAAUCCUUUGAUUUAGCCGUUUUACGAAGCAGGCCGUAAAUUUUGAGUUAACUGUUGCAUCCUGAUUGAAAAUCCAUACAAAGUCCAUCCACAGAUUGAAAUGAAUUUGUACAUUUAGGAAGGCAAUAGAGGAACACCCCUCUUCUUAGCCUUCCUAGCAGGAUCAGGUGCUCCAGGACACAGAUAAGAAAAACCAGAGAGAGCCAGUGUGGUGUAGUGGUUAAGAGCGGUAGUCUCGUAAUCUGGGAAACCGGGUUCGCGUCUCCGCUCCUCCACCUGCAGCUGCUGGGUGACCUUGGGCCAGUCACACUUCUCUGAAGUCUCUCAGCCCCACUCACCUCACAGAGUGUUUGUUGUGGGGGAGGAAGGGAAAGGAGAAUGUGAGCCGCUUGGAGACUCCUGAAGGGGAGUGAUAAAGCGGGAUAUCAAAUCCAAACUCUUCUUCUGGAUCAAGCCAAAGGGUCCUCAUCCAAUUAGGGGCUUUGUAGACCACAAGCUUAGCGUGAGCCAACCAUGUGAUGCAGCAGCAAAAACUUCUAAUGCAAUUCUAGGCUGCAUCAAGCCUCCAGACCAAGGGAAGGGAUAGUCCUGCUCUCUUCUGCCUUACCUGGAGUAGGGUUACCAGAUGUCCCCGUUUCCCGGGGACAGUCCCUGGGUUUGCAAAUAAGUCCGCGGACAAAUUCCAGCCCUGGAAUGUCCCCGGAUUUCAUCUAACAUCCCCGGGAAAUGCAGCAGCGGCAGUCUCAGCAGCCCAGAGCAGUUGGCUCUGGCUGGCUUCAGGAGCUGCUGGGAAGUCCCCAUCUGAUGGUGGUGCAGGGGCUCCAAGAUGCAGCUUCUGGGCUGCCUCCACCUUCCCUGACCCCAGCAACUCAGCUGUGAAGGGAGGCUUCAUGCUGCCUAUCGGAGCAGCCUCACAACUCCUACUUGCGUGCAAGCAGGAGAGGGGGGGGGAUCUCUCAGUUUGGCAACAGGGAAGCCUCCCUUCCCAGCUGAGGGAUCCCUGCCCCCUCCUGCUUGCACGCAAGUAGGAAUGGGAUUGGGGCUGCUCCGAUGGGAAGGGAGGCAUUGCGCUGCCCGAGCCUCGCCACCACCGCUGCUCUCGGCCCUCUUUCUCCAACUUCCAUGCCUGACCCACCGCGCACCAGCUCUCCCCCCCCCCAAGAACCAACAACGCAGGGGCUGCCCAGGCUCAUGGAGAAAGGAGAUAGAAGCCUCAGAGGAAGGGGAAACAUGGUGGUUGAGGUCAAGGCGGCCGCAGCCCCUCUGCCACCGCCAUCGCUGCAGCAUCAGCGUCCUGAACAUGUAGUAUUUAUGUAUGUAUUUUUUUAUUUAAAGUGUCCCCAGAUUCAUUGAAAAAAAUCUGGUAACCUUAACCUGGAGUCCUGUGUCCAGUUCUGGGUGCCACCAAUUAAGAAGAAUGUUGACAAACUGGGAAAGUGUGCAGAGGAGGAAGAACAAGAUGAUAAAAGGGUCUGGAAAGCAAGUCUUAUGAGGAAUAAGACAGAAUUGAAGGUCUGCCAUAUGGAAGAGGGAGCAAGCUUGUUUUCUGCUGCUCCAGAGGAUAGGAUCCGAACCUAUGGAUGCAAAUUACAAGAAAGUAGGUUCCUCCUAAACAUUAGGAAGAACUUUCUAAGAGCUUCUGACAGAGGAAUGGUCUCCCUUGGGAGGUGGUGGACUCUCCUUCCUUGGAGGUUUUUAAGCAGAGGUUGGAUGGCCAUCUGUCUGGGAUUAUUUAGCUGUGAUUCCUGCAUUGCAAGGGUUAGACUAGAAGACCUUUGGGGUCCCCUUCAACUCCACAAUUCUACGAUUCUAUGCUAAUUCAGCAUCCUGUUCUCACAUAGGGUAAUGGCCUCCCAUCUCCAUGGGCUUCCCUGGUGAUUUCAAAGAGGCGGCUUUCAACCAGGGACUAAAGAGGAGAUGUGUGCAGAGCAAACUCUUCCACUGAAUUGGGAAACACAAGCAGACAGGAGUUCCACAAGUACACUGGAGCAGCACAUAGGAAACUUGAGCUUUUUGAAGAUAUUUGCAUAACCACUUAAAAUCUGGAACCGUGUGACCAAUGGCUAAGUGACUUUUCCCUCAGUUUUAAAGUGAGGAUGGAUGGAUGACUCUGUCAAUUUCAGUUUCUCUCAAUUUCUCAUUUUUCUGGUCUGAAGUUAUAUUCUCCACAUGGCACUCUUUUUUUUUUUAAGUUCAUUGAAAGUUCUUUUAAGUUUUUCAAGUUCUAUGAAAACCAUCAGCACUUCAGUGUGAAUUUCUAAUAUGUGUUUGUAUUUGUUGAUUUCCUUGAAUAUCUACAAAACACACUUUCCUAUGAACAACAGGCAGUGCACACCACGCAACAGUUACAGCAGCAGCAACAAAAUACAGUGGGAUCUUGAUUUCGAAUGCUGACAACCCGGAAGUGAAUGCUUCCAUUUUCAAACGUGCCUCGGAAGUUGAAUGGCUUCCGAAGCGUGUUUCUCCAUUUUUCCAAUGGGUUUUGCCAACCGGCAAUUGUGCCUUGGUUGUUGAACAUUUCGGAAGUUGGAUGGUCUUCUGGAAUGGAUUAUGUUCAACAACCAAGGUUCCACUGUAAAGGUAAAGGGACCCCUGACCAUUAGGUCCCGUCGUGACCAACUCUGGGGUUGCGGCGCUCAUCUUGCUUUAUUGGCCGAGGGAGCCGGCGUACGGCUUCCGGGUCAUGUGGCCAGCAGGACUAAGCUGCUUCUGGCGAACCAGAGCAGUGCACGGAAACGCUGUUUACCUUCCUGCCGGAGCGGUACCUAUUUAUCUACUUGCACUUUGACGUGCUUUUGAACUGCUAGGAUGGCAGGAGCAGGGACCGGGCAACAAGAGCUCACCCCGUUGCGGGGAUUUGAACCGCCGACCUUCUAAUUGGCAAGUCCUAGGCUCUGUGGUUUAACCCACAGUGCCACCCGCGUCCCACAAUGGAUUAUGUUCAACAACCGAGGUUCCACUGUACUUGCAUGUAAUUUUGCCUAACAUGCAUAUUCCUUCUCCCCCUCACCCAUGUGCGCUGAAAAAAAUUGGAAAAACACGAAUUUUGAAGGAUGGCUGUGUCUUCAUUCUCACAUUCUCUUGGAAAGUGUGAAUUAAGGAUCAUCACCUUAAUCUGAAUGGAAUCCAUCCCCUAUUGCUCUUUGCAAGUCACCUGACUUUCAGCAUCCUGUUGGGAAGCCAGUGACCUUUCUCUCGCCCCUCUUCCCAUCCGCUUCUGCUUCUCUUUCUUCAGAUGCUAAAAUCCUGGGCAGGGACUGCCAUUACAUUUGUGCGCAGUCCCUACAUUAUUGAUUGGGGCACUUAAGAAGUAUUAAAUAAUUUGCUGCCUACACUCUCCUCAUAAGAUUGUGGGUUUGCAGCAUUCCUACGAAAUUCCUCUGAAACCCAGCCGGAUGGGCGUGGUAUAAAUAAAAAAUUGUUGCUGUUGUGCUGACCAUUAAAGCCCUAAAUGGUCUCAGCCCAGUAUACCUGAAGGAGCGUCUCCACCCCCAUUCUCCUGCCCGGACACAGAGGUCCAGCUCUGAGGGCCUUCUGGUGGUUCCCUCACUGCGAGAAGCCAAGUUACAGGGAACCAGACUGAGAGCCUUCUUCCAGACCCUCCACAUGUCCCUAAUUUCCAGGGACAGUCCUGAAUUUAUAGAAGCAUCCCAGUUUCUGAUUUGAUCCUGGAAUGUCCCGCUUUUCCUUAGGGUGUCCUGUCUGAAAUAUACUCGGAGUCGAGAGUGGAUUUCAUGCUCUUUAUUCAGCUCAUAGUGGUGAGGAGGAAUGAAAGUUCCCCCAAAGUAUCUGCUUUAUAUACAUUAUUUACACAAUGGGCCCCACGUGAUUGGCUAAUUCCGGGAUUCUCCUGUAGGCCAAUCAGGUUGUGGAUUCACUUCCAUCUGGAGCUGGAUUGGGUGGCUCCUGCAGACCAAUCAUACUGCUGCAUUGUUCUAGGACCAAUCAGACUGCUGCAUUCUGAAUGCUAUUGUUUUAGGACCAAUCAGACUGCUGCAUUUUGAAUCCUAUUGUUCUAGGACCAAUCAGACUGCUGCAUUUUGGAUCCUAUUCAAGUCAGUACAUAACACAGUCCAACCCCCUGCAAUGUAGGAAUCUCAACAGAAAGCAUACAUGACCUUAAAAAGCUCGAGGGAAUCUCCUUUCUUGUAACUUGAAUCCAUUGGGAUCAUUAGGGAAGGAAUGGACAGUGACCAGGAAGAUGGAGCCACUCCACUAUGAGGAAAAGCUACAACAUCUGGGACUCCUUUAUUUAGAGAAAAGGCAAGCAAGAGGCAACAUGAUAGAAGGUUAUAGAAUCGUGCAUGGCAUGGGAAAAGUGGAUAGAGAGAAGUUUCCUUCCCACUCUGUCUUAACACUGGAACUUGUGGACAUCCAAUGAAAGUUAUAAAAGAAAGUAUUCUUCACACAGUGCAUAGUUAAGCUAUGGAACUCACUGCCACUGGGAGCAGAGAUGACUCCCCUCUGUCAAGGAUUCUUUAGCGGAGGUUCUAGAACCAACAUCCACGCACGCUGCCCAAAGCUCAGCAGAGGAAGGGUAGGAUGGGAUUAUAUGACUAUAUGUUGUUGUCGUUUAGUCGUGUCCGACUCUUCGUGACCCCCUGGACCAGAGCACGCCAGGCACUCCUGUCUUCCACUGCCUCCCGCAGUUUGGUCAAACUCAUGUUGGUAGCUUCAAGAUCACUGUCCAACCAUCUCGUCCUCUGUCCUCCCCUUCUCCUUGUGCCCUCCAUCUUUCCCAACAUCAGGGUCUUUUCCAGGGAGUCUUCUCUUCUCAUGAGGUGGCCAAAGUACUGGAGCCUCAGCUUCAGGAUCUGUCCUUCCAGUGAGCACUCAGGGCUGAUUUCCUUCAGAAUGGAGAGGUUUGAUCUUCUUGCAGUCCAUGGGACUCUCAAGAGUCUCCUCCAGCACCAGAAUUCAAAAGCAUCAAUUCUUUGGCGAUCAGCCUUCUUUAUGGUCUGGCUCUCACUUCCAUACACCACUACUAUACUAUACUAUACUACACUUCCAUACAUCACUACAUCACUACUAUAUAUGACUAUAUAGUACAUGGGAUUUUUAAAAAAUGAACCCACCACAAAAUCCGGUCUGUGCCAAAGAUAUAUUGGAUCCAUGUUGCAGACCUCAUGUUGCAGACAUCAAAAAAACCACAUACAGCCAAAAGAUGAUGAUGGAAAGAAUAUUCCGGUCUGCAACUUCCCCAUCUCUUAUUUGUUUUAAGUUUUUAACGAGGGUAGGCAAAAGCGAGCUCUUGCAUCACUUGAAGACAAUUUCAAUUAGAGCAAUCUCUAGCCAUCUAAUAUUCUUAUCAUACAAGUCGUACAGCAUAAAUAUUUCAUGCUGUAUUUAGCAUGCUCUUUUUUUAAUAAUGAAGAGAGUUGUGUGCCUACCUAGGAGAGCUUUUUUCUUCUUCUUCUGAGGGUGAAGGCUGCUGACGAUGCAGAGGGGAAGCGGGGGGGGGGGGGAUGGAGGCGGCCCUGGGGAGCCCGUCUUGCUUUAGGGCAAAAUCCAGGAUGCAUAACAAGGAGUGAAGCUGGGAUUCUCCCUGCGGCCCAAGGCAAAGGGGGGAGAGUCUGGAUUUUGCCCUCUGAUUUGGGAACAUCCGCAACAGCAGCCCUGAAAGAAAACCAGAGAAAUCCCUUGGAGGGUCUCGGAGGGACUACAAAGGAACGUUCAGCACUUGAGAGCUUCCCAUGGUGUUCAUAUGCAAGAGGCAGUGUGGUGCAGUGGUUAGAGUGUCAGACUAGGACCUGGGAGAGACCAGGAUUCAAACCCUCAUUCAGCAAUGAAGUUCACUGGAGGAAAACUAUGUCUGUCGCCUUGAAUGCCAGGAGAAGAGGCAGGAAAGAAAUGUAGCAAAAUAAAUAAGUGUCCUUAUGUAGCCCCUUCAAGUCAUUUUACUGUGUCCCCAGGCACAGAACCCUCUGAUUUUUACGCCACUGAAAUGUCACCUGUGUAGAAACUUCUUCUUCUUCUUCUUUGGCGAUCCCUUGUAGCCAAGUAAGAUUGCCUUCCAUAAACACGGUUUUAACAAUAAGUCCGUAAGUGACUGUGGAGGCCAAUUCUGGAUCCACACGUCCUUCUACAGUGGGGACAUUCAUUUCCAUGCGAGAGUUGAUCACGGUGUGGAUUUGCCAGGCGUGCCUUCCUCUUAGCACGUUUCUCCCUUGCGUCCUGAGUUCGAGUGUCUCAAAGCCCAUGACACCUUUGGUAAAGGCUGUUCUCCAACUGGAGCGCUCGCAGGCCAGUGUUUCCCAGUUGUUGGUGUUUAUACUACAUUUUUAAAGAUUUGCCUUGAGAGAGUCUUCAAACCUCUUUUGUUGACCACCAGCGUUACACUUUCCAUUUUUAAGUUCAGAAUAGAGUAGUUGCUUUGGAAGACGAUCAUCAGGCAUCCGCACAACACGACCAGUCCAACGAAGUUGAUGUUGAAGAAUCAUUGCUUCACCACACGUGAUCUUUGCUUCUUCCAGUCCACUGGUAUUAGUUUGCCUGUCUUCCCAAGUGAUGUAGAAACAUGAGAUGCUUCACCCAUCCCCAGGCUUUGCCAAUCCUGGGAACAUGAUCUCUGGAAGGAUGUCCAUAAGGGAAUGUAGCUUAUAAAAAAAAUCAGCUGGUCUCUGCCGGUGCUCCUUAAUUCUGGAGGGAAGGGGAAAUCUGUCGGAACCAGAGCUUGUUAAUUAGGACGACAGCCCAGGAAUGUCGACCGAGUGGCAUCUCUGCGUCCCUCUGUUGCAAUCCGACUGGGGCCUCGAAUCAAAACACGAUUCUCACCCUUUGCCCCCUGCACCAGUUUGUACAAGCUUCCUGGCAGGCAAAUCAUUAAUUAAAAAUAGUUGGGAAAUCACACUCAAAACUAAAUUGGAAUAAUUAAUCCCCCGUGUGCUGAAUUUGAGGCAGGGGAGGCGAGGGGAGGUAUUAAUAAAUAAAUAUUUAAAUUGACAGAAGCUUUGGAUCCAAGGCUUCUAGGAAGGGAACUGCGCUCCAAUUCUUGAUCAUGCAAAAGCUGUACUGAAUGGAGGCUGCAGCGUUCUUUCAGCUUGCGGAAAAAUAAUCACAAAUCCAUGACUCCCAAUUUUAUGCAUUUUUUGUGGUGGUGGUGGGGUAAAAAUGAUUGUUGUUUGGGGAGAAAGUUCCCCUCUUUUUAAAUCAAGCAUUCCAUCUCUUAUUCCAAUGUAACCAAGUUCUGUGCUGCAGAAAAGUAAAACUUUCCAAGAACUGGCCCCAGAUAGUUCACAACCUUCUUCUUGGGAGUUUGUGACAUAACUAGAGCUUUUAUAAUGCUGCUGUUUAUUAUUUUAGGCUACUUUUAUUUAUUUCUGUUUUACAUUGCUAUGCAUAUUUGGGUCAUGUGUUCAUUGAAGGGGGGCUAAUUAGAUGAUUCUUGGGAUCCCUUCCAACUCUACAAUUCUACAAUUCUCUGAUUAUGUGACACUAGGACUUGUGCGCUGUUAGAAUUCCUGUUCCAUGAUUGCAGUCAUGGGAUCAUUGCCUUUCACAUGUCGGUGUAUGUUUUGACUCCACAGAGUGGGAAGUGACGGAGACAGGAUGUUUGCGUUACUGUGUUCCGUGAAGUGGGACUAUUGUCCUUUGUCCUUUCUCUUUGCUGUCUGAUGCUAGAGAGAGAGGGAGCCAUGUUGCAGUGCUCUGUGUGUGUUUAUAUGUAAAAAAAAGUAGAUUAGCCAAAAUGCUGAGUUGCUGAGGUCUGUCCCGCAAGAUGCACAAACUCUGCGGAUCCCUAAGUGUCCCGGUGUCGGUUGGCAUCGGUCCCUGUGAUGUUCAGGCUGAAGAAAGCUUAUGAAGCUCCCGAACGAUUGACCAGGAGGGAGGGAACAUGUCAGUUGGGCAUGUGUCUCUGCCAGGGUCCUACUCGAGUGUAGGCUGAACUCCUGACAACUUGUGGACAUCCAGAGAAGCUGAACGUUGCCAGGUUCAGGACAGAUAAAAGAAAGUGUUUCUUCAUUCAGCGCAGAGCUAAACUGUGGAACUCCCUCGAGCAGGAGACAGGGAUGGCCACCAAACUGGAUGGUUUGAAGAGAGGAUUGGACAAAUUCGUGGGCUAACAAUGGCUCCUAGCUAUGAUGACUAUGCUGUGCCUCCAGGGCUGGAUUUAGGUUUGAUGAGGUCCUCAGCUACUGAUGGUAAUGGGGGCCCUUUAUAUGUCCAGCUGUCCACUGUCAACAACAAAUUGUCGCUGUUUUUUGUGUUGGAUAUAUGCUAUAUGGUCAUUGAUGGACCUAAUAGGUAUCUAAAGCCAUUUGCACAUAACAGUCCAUGCAGAAUGUAGGCACCCUGUAUAUAGGUAAAGGUAAAGGGACCCCUGACCAUUAGGUCCAGUCAUGACCGACUCCGGGGUUGCUGCGCUCAUCUCGCUUUAUUGGCCGAGGGAGCCAGUGUACAGCUUCCGGGUCAUGUGGCCAGCAUGACUAAGCCACUUCUGGCGAACCAGAGCAGCACAUGGAAACGCUGUUUACCUUCCCGCCAGAGCGGUACCUAUUUAUCUACUUGCAUUUUGACGUGCUUUCGAAUUGCUAGGUGGGCAGGAGCAGGGACCGAGCAACGGGAGCUCACCCCGUCGUGGGGAUUCGAACCGCCGACCUUCUGAUCGGCAAGUCCUAGGCUCUGUGGUUUAACCCACAGCGCCACCCGCAUCCCAUCCUAUAUAUAGAAAGGAGCAAACCAGUGAUAUUUUAGGGAGCAGGCUAGCAGGCAGGGCCCAUGAAUUACAUCAUAGGAGCCUACACUGUUGCUGGAUGUAGGUUUUAUUUUAUUUGUUUUUUAUCUUAUAUUUUGGAAAUGUAAAUCCAGGUUUUUUUCCCUUUAAAAUUUUUUGGGGCGCCCAAGAGAGUGGGGCCCUAAGCUACAGCUUGUUGAGCUUAUACGUAAAUCCAGCACUGAGGGCAGCCCUGGACCCUGCGUGCUCCUCAGAGCUGUUGCGUCGCCUGGGGCUGCUAAUAUGAGCUGCACAAGGGAGGAGGCCGGAAGCAGCAGCCAUGGAGAGGCAGCGGGAUUCUCCGUUGCAGCCACUGCCAUCACUCAAGACUGGCUCCUCCUCCUCUCUGAACUCAGCAGCGGUAGCACUGGCAGGGGAAAUGGGAACAUUCCUGGAUCAAAGCAGAAGCUGGGACAGCUUUCAUAAUUCUGGGACUUUUCCCAGAAGAUAGGGGCACUUGGAGGGUAUGAUAUCGGGAAAUUGCUCCAUGCUCAUCGGGCAGCAAAAGUGCUGUUGUUGGACAUUUUCCAUAUCUGCUAUUGAGUCCCUGGAGCACAGAAUCACACAAUAUAUCCAAAACAAUGGGAGAAAUUGGAAGGAUCUCAAAAGAGAAGAUAGAUAGGGAUUGGAAGGUGUUUAAAAGAUACUUGCAAAACCAUAUCGAAAAAUCAGAACUCCUAUUAGAAUAAACAAGUUCCGUUACAAACACUGAAAUACUGAAUAAGAUGGAUAACAAUGUGUAAUAGAAAAAGAAGUAUGAAAUAAGGCUAAAGGUGUGUGAAAGAAAGUAAUAGAAGUGGAAAGAAAUUGCAAUUGAGUAGAUUGGAAGUCUAACACAAAGGUGGGGUGAGGGGUGGUGGAUGGUGAUGGGAAAAGGAAUUAUUUGUGGGAUUGAGUGUAAGUAUGUUUGAACACUUUUAAGGAUUGUAUGAAAUGUAUGUUUGUAUGCUUCUAUAUAUGUAAUAUAGGUGGAUUAAUGAUGAACUAUUUUAACUAUAUAUAUAUAUAUAUAUAUAUAUAUAUAUAUAUACAAUCACACAAAGUGGCAACCAACCUUGCAGGAUUUAACAGGAUUUAUUUGAAAUGCAUAUGCAGGACAAAGGUACAGAGCAAUAAAUUUGCGAUCUGCACCCCUCAGUCAGGGUGCGCCCACUUUUUACACCCCUUAGAAUGCAUAGACACGUGUUCACAUGCAUAAAAUGUGAUUUACACUUGUGUUACCCUCCUCCUUUUCAGUUCGCCUCCUCCUUUUCAGCCUCCCCUUGCCUCCCCUUGUCUGGGGUUACAAUUAUACCCAUUCAACCUUGCUUAUUAUCUUUCUUUUUUUUUAAAUGAUAUUUAUUAAGAAUUUUAGAAUUACAGAAAAAAACAAAAAAACAAAAAGAAAAAGAAAGAAAACAAAAGGAAAACAAACCACAAUCCAACAAUACAAAUUGAUAAGAAUCAAAAUCAAAAAAUAACACAACACAAUCAAAAGACAAAAAUAAGCCACAAACAUUUUAAAAACAAAUCCAAUAUUCUCAAAUCCUUAACUGUCAUUACCUUCUUUCUUUGACCUCCUCACUCCUCCCUUUUUUGUAUCCUAGUUGUUAAUUGUCACAGCAAAUCCUUUCCAUUUUUCAUAAUAUUCUGUCAUUACAUUACCUUAAUCUAUUUUAAUCUUAUCUUACUAUAAAAGACCUUAAAACUUGAAACUUAGAUCUUAUUUAUACCAAUUUCUCAUAACCAUAAUAUUCUUACAUAAUUCUUUAAACAUUUUUACUAGAGCCAAAUAAUUUCGUUCCAACAUUUUUCUAGCAUUCAUCAAUUUUAUAAAACAAUCCUAAUAAUUUUUUUUUUCUUCCAAUCUUCAUCCAGCGUCUCUUCCUCCUGGUCCCGGGUUUUGUCAGUCCUUUCUAUCACAUCAAUCUAGCGCAUUAACCUGGUAAUCUUAUGUCCGAGGCCCUUAAGUCUCUUCCAUGUCCCUUCCGCGGCUCUUCUUCAUAUUUAUACCUGUACUUUACUUUGUCUCCUGCUCCUUUCACUCGUGGGAACUCCAACUUAACAGUGUUUUUGACCCUUCUCGACAAAUCAGCCCCUUUUCCAUAGUCCACAUUGAACUCCAUUUGGUAUUUAAAAACAUGUUUCAAAGUCCCUCCAGAAUUAAGAGCCCCCACAACCCCAAACAUCUCACGGCCCAUUGCCAGACUUGAAAAGUCCAAACAUCCCUGCAUAGGGGGGGUCUAUCCAACCCCCCAUUUCCAAACCAAACCAAACUUUAUCUUUCCAAAUCUGGCUUUUUCCAAGUUCAUUUGUCAGAUCCAAGAACUCAUGUUCCUGCUGGGCCACAGCUCCCUCCAUCUCUGGCGCCCGAGGUUCAGCAACAUCCUCUUCCCUCAUCUGUUCUGUCAGAGCACACUCCUGAUUUGAUUCCUGGGUGGGCUCUAUAUAGUUUCCCACUACCUGUCCAAAAUUUCUGAUCGCAGCAGUCAUCACAUCCGUCUUCUCAUAUAGCUGUUCCAGUAGGGCACUUGUUUUGCAGAAAGCACGCACCAGAGCUUCUGAAUACAUUGUUCUGCAAGGUCAGAAGUCUAUUCCCACGAUCGUAAUCUGUUGCAGCUGCAAGCUCCCCGAUUCAAAAUUGGUAACAGUUUCACAGGCUCCUCUAGGGGAAGAACUUCUAUUUGUUCUUUUCUUUUAAAAGCAGAUCUAACAACAAAGUUUCCUUUUUCAGAUAUUUUGUCAAUAUUUGUUCCUUUAAAAUGCGAAGGGGAACAAUGGAAUCACUAUGUUUCUCUUCUUUUAACUAUCUGUCAAAAACAUUUGUCUCUGGUCAAUGAGCUUCAAAGAACGUCAGUCCUGACACCCCGCUCCAGGAUCAAGACGGUGGAAAAUUACUUUGCUUUACACUCUCUUCUGCAGGUUUAAACAGUCCGAAAAAAAUCCCCCCUCUUCUCCUGCUUCCGAAGGGGGUUCAACAAUUUUUAAUGAUGAAAGUUAAUCCUAUACAAGUGAUUUUCUGAACUCCAGUUUGCCAUGUCUUUGCUUUAAUCUAUCUACAAGAAACGGAAGGCUGACUUCCUGUUUAGACCUUCCCGUUUCAGUGCCAAAUUGAGAUAAAUUUCUUAGUCCAAUUUUCCUUUCUACUCACUGGUCAUUAUUUAAAGUCCAAUUGUCCAAAAUUUAAGUACUCACGGGUAAUUGUUUUAAAAGCCAAAUUGUCCCAGGAAAAAGGCAGCGCUCUCCAGCAACGGCUGUGUGGCUUCGCUCCACGGAAGAAGCAGUUGACUCUCAGCAGCGCGCCACUUCCCCCUCUUCGCUCCGGAGCCCGUAAGUGGGUUCCUUUAUGGGUUGGGGGGGCGCUAAAGGUGCCCGCCGAGUCCCAUGGUCACAGGCUUCAUCCGCCUGUGAUUUUUGAAAGGGUCCCCGCUUCACCGUAGCGGGAAAGACCCGUUUUCCGUGGAGCUGGUCCCUCCGGAUCAGAAGGAAUCCGCCAUUACCGAUGGCGCCACCCCGGAAGUGCAACCCUGCUUAUUAUCGCUACGCGCAUAAGCCAGACAUUCCAGAGAGGGAGGCCCAUUUUCACUGUAACAUCUAAAAAAAAGCCUGGUGUAAAAACCUCCCUUCCCCCUUUAAGGAAGGGAUUUGGGCAUAACAUAUGAGAGAGGAGAAAAUGCCUCAAACAGUUUUUGGGAUCAUAUAGACAACAAGAGAAGACUCCCUGGAAAAGACCCUGAUGUUGGGAAAGAUGGAGGGCACAAGGAGACGGGGACGACAGAGGACAAGAUGGUGGGACAGUGUUCUCGAAGCUACCAGCAUGAGUUUGACCAAACUGCGGGAGGCAGUGGAAGACAGGAGGGCCUGGCGUGCUCUGGCCCAUGGGGUCAGGAAGAGGCGGACAUGACUAAACGACUAAACAACAACAAGACAACAAUAUUCUAAUGGCCCUUCACUGUCUCCCUCUCUCUGCAACACCCCUGCCUCUCUAGUCCUAAUAGGCAGAGUUUGCAGCUUGCAGCUUGUGCAUAACUUGCAGGUCACCUGGGAUGCCAUUCCCCAAAACAUGCUAACUGGAUUUUGUUCUGCGCAGACCACAUGAGUGAGACCUCCAAACGAUUCGCAGCUAUGCAGAAAAGUUUCCUCUGGGCCCAACAAAGUGGUGUGUUUUUUCUCGGUCUCCUUCUCCCUUGAGUGUCAACAGGAUUCUAAUUUGCCUUGUGAUGAUGAGGAACCUUUGAAGGCAGCAAAGCUGACGAAGAAGGUCAAAAGGCAAUUAAAAACAUGGAGAGAGACUCCUUUCUCUCUUCUGGGGGAAGAAAAACUCGCUAAUUAGCCCAAACCGGAAUGAAACAGCAAGCCCUUUCAUUUGGAAACUGUACUGCGCCUUCUAUCAAACAAAUUGAUUAGCUGAGGAAUCAGAAUCCGAAUGCUUGGAUAAGGCGUUAAUUGGCGGAAUCAAUUAAUUGCAGGAUUUUGCUACCCCCCUCCCCCCUCCCGUCAUCUCCUAAAUGGGGGUAAUGUAUGGCUGUAUGGGCUUGGAGAUAAGAGAUGCAGGAUUAGGGCUUUUGAGCAAUCCCAGGUGGCCAAAGUCUUUUCAUGGGAAGUUUGUUUCUUGGGUUGUGGUGGUGUAAUUCUUCCCAUAUUGCCCCCCCCCCUUAUGCUGUCAGAAUUUAUUUACAAUAGGGAGCACAUUAUUCUGGUAUACAUUUAUUAAAAGCCUUGUGCUUGGUUGCUUGACUCAAGGGAACACGCACUAGUAAUAACUUCUUCCCUCUAGGGCAAGGAAACGUUUUGCAGGGGGGUGCAAUUAUAAGCGACAAUGAAAAAGCAAGGGGGGGACACACACAUUCCAGAGGUGCCCCACAGCUAUUUUCUUAUUGCUGAGUAGGCGGCUGGACCACAGAGCGAUGAUGGUGCAAAGAUCCGAAGUGAUGGGCUUCCUGCAGGUGGUCUCUUGACCAUUACGCAGGGCAGUGAUUUUGCAUCUCUAUGUGGGACAAGAAGCUACAGUUAGAACUGGAUAUGGAACAAUCGAUUGGUUCAAAACUGGGAAUGGAAUACGACAAGGCUGUAUAUUGUCUCCCUGUUUAUUUAACUUAUAUGUAGAAUUCAUCAUGCGAAAGGCUGGGCUGGAUGAAUCCCAAGCCAGAAUUAAGAUUGCUGGAAGAAACGUCAACAACCUCAGAUAUGCAGAUGACACAACCUUGAUGGCAGAAAGUGAGGAGGAAUUAAAGAACCUUUUAAUGAGGGUGAAAGAGGAGAGCGCAAAAUAUGGUCUGAAGCUCAACAUCAAAAAAAUGAAGAUCAUGGCCACUGGUCCCAUCACCUCCUGGCAAAUAGAAGGGGAAGAAAUGGAGGCAGUGAGAGACUUUACUUUCUUGGGCUCCAUGAUCACUGCAGAUGGUGACAGCAGUCACGAAAUUAAAAGAUGCCUGCUCCUUGGGAGAAAAGCAAUGACAAACCUAGACAGCAUCUUAAGAAGCAGAGACAUCACCUUGCUGACAAAGGCCUCCCGCAGUUUGGUCAAACUCAUGCUGGUAGCUUCGAGAACACUGGCCAACCAUCUUGUCGUUUGUUGUCCCCUUCUCCUUGGGCCCUCCAUCUUUCCCAACAUCAGGGUCUUUUCCAUGGAGUCUUCUCUUCUCAUGAGGUGGCCAAAGUAUUGGAGCCUCAGCUUCAG